AUUGACCGCUGGCGGCAUGCUUUACACAUGCAAGUCGAACGGUAACAGGUUAAGCUGACGAGUGGCGAACGGGUGAGUAACGCAUCGGAACGUGCCCGAUCGUGGGGGAUAACGCAGCGAAAGCUGCGCUAAUACCGCAUAAGAUCCGAGGAUGAAAGCGGGGGACUUUAUAGCCAUAUGAGGCCUCGAGCGAUCGGAGCGGCCGAUGUCAGAUUAGGUAGUUGGCGGGGUAAAGGCCCACCAAGCCGACGAGCGGUAGCUGGUCUGAGAGGACGACCAGCCACACUGGGACUGAGACACGGCCCAGACUCCUACGGGAGGCAGCAGUGGGGAAUUUUGGACAAUGGGCGAAGGCCUGAUCCAGCCAUUCCGCGUGAGUGAAGAAGGCCUUCGGGUUGUAAAGCUCUUUCGCAAGGGAAGAAAACUUAUCCUCUAACAUAGGGUGAGGUUGACGGUACCUUGAUAAGAAGCACCGGCUAACUACGUGCCAGCCGCCGCAGUAAGAC
rnacentral:rRNA from 1 species